AACAUUACAAAACAUUGUUUGUAAUGAAAUACAUUUUCAUUAUGAAUUUAUUAACAGUGAUUUUAAAAUCUGUUUACAGGUGCUAUUAAAUCUUCAGAGGAACCUCCUGUCCAAAUAACAGAUAAAACAACGAUUGCUGUCAUCAUUUGUCUCUUGAGUUGUUUCGUCAUUGUGAUCGUGGCAUUGAUUCUCUGGAAGAGAUGGAAGACGUCUAGAUCUCCACAGGAUUAUAAUAUGGCUGCACGUGAAAAUAACAUCAAUGAACAUUCAGAUAGAGAAACAAUGUAACAACAGCAUCACAUCAAGCUAAUAUUUAUGUUGCAGGAUUAUGAGUCUUUGAUUGUAUGGUUUAAAAGGACUAAAGCUCCGUUUUCUGUUUUAUAUUUCUGUGAAAUAUGAUUGUUACUGAUCUGUUUUAUCAGAUAGUAUUGUAUAUAUACAGCUUAAAUGUAAAAUGACUUGUAGUUUUUUCUGCAUAUUUUUAUGUUAAAGAAAAUCAUUUUAAAAUCAACACUUGGCCUGUAUAAACUUAUUAAGAUGCACAGACCAAACUAUGUUUGCUUGUAUUUCUCUAAUUCAUUCAA